UUUUUUUAAAAACAGGUUUAAACCUAUAAAUAGAGGAACAAAAAACUGAACAAGCCUGUUAAUGAAACAUUGCUAAUACAAGACUUUUACCGUUACGGGGAGCAACAACAUGGACGAGGCCUUUUUUCUUGACAUUCCAGAUGCCGCGCUACAAGCUUUAAACUUUGAACAAGAUGGAAGUCAAAACCACCCAAUAGUUUUCCUGAAAUUACAGAAGAAGGUGUGAACUGUUUUUUAAAUAUGUGUUUUUUAAAAUAAAAAAAUCUGAUGUUGCAAAUAGUGUG